GAUGAACGCUAGCGGGAGGCCUAACACAUGCAAGCCGAGCGGUAGAGCUUCUUGCGUAUCUUGAGAGCGGCGUACGGGGGCGGAACACGUAUGCAACCUGCCUUUAUCAGGGGGAUAGCCUUUCGAUCGGAAGAUUAAUACCCCAUACUAUAUUUGUUUGCAUCAUUAGAUAUUGAAAGCUUUGGCGGAUAGAGAUGGGCAUGCGCAAGAUUAGAUAGUUGGUGAGGUAACGGCUCACCAAGUCGAUGAACUUUAGCGGGCCUGAGAGGGUGAUCCACCACACUGGUACUGAGGUACGGACCAGAAUCCGACGCGGGGCUGCAGAGAGGAACAUUGGACGCGGGGUUAGCGCCUGGCCCAGCCAUCCCGCUUGAAAGAGUACGGCCCUAUGGGUUGUAUGCUACUUUUGUACAGGGAUAAACCUACUCUCGUGGGAGUAGCUGAAGGUACUGUACGAAUAAGCACCGGCUAACUCCGUG
rnacentral:rRNA from 1 species